rnacentral:rRNA from 1 species
AUUGAACGCUGGCGGAAUGCUUUACACAUGCAAGUCGAACGGCAGCACGGGUGCCUGCACCUGGUGGCGAGUGGCGAACGGGUGAGUAACAUAUCGGAACGUAUCCAAUAAUGGGGGAUAACUAAUCGAAAGGUUGGCUAAUACCGCAUACGCCCUACGGGGGAAAGCUAGGGACCUUCGGGCCUGGCGUUAAUGGAGCGGCCGAUAUCUGAUUAGCUAGUUGGUGGGGUAAUGGCCUACCAAGGCGACGAUCAGUAGCUGGUCUGAGAGGACGACCAGCCACACUGGAACUGAGACACGGUCCAGACUCCUACGGGAGGCAGCAGUGGGGAAUUUUGGACAAUGGGCGCAAGCCUGAUCCAGCCAUUCCGCGUGAGUGAAGAAGGCCUUCGGGUUGUAAAGCUCUUUCGCAAGGGAAGAAAACUUAUCCUCUAACAUAGGAUGAGGUUGACGGUACCUUGAUAAGAAGCACCGGCUAACUACGUGCCAGAAGCCGCCGUAAGAC